ACAAUAAUAUUGGGUUGCCCAAGAAGUAAUUGCGGAUUUUUUGAAAGAAAAACUUCUGGCUUAAAUCUGCAAAAAACUGAACCAAGUGCGAUUUUAUAGCCUCAUCAUUGCCCAAAGUUUUACCAUUUAAGGAGUUCUGCAAAGAUCGAAAUAAAUGGUAGUCUGAUGGUGCAAGGUCAGGGCUAUAUGGUGGAUACAUCAAAACUUUCCAGCCAAGCUGUCCCAGUUUUUGGCGGGUCAUCAAAGAUGUGUGUGGUCUGGCGUUGUCAUGAUGGAAAAUGAAAAAUUUACGAUUGAUCAUUUCUGGCCGUUUCUCGUUGAUGGCUGCAUUCAAUUUGUCCAGUUAUUGACAGUAAACAUCCGAAUUAAUCGUUUGGUUCCUUGGAAACAGCUCAAAAUGUACCACACCCUUGCAAUCCCAUGGCUCAUCUUUAAGUGAAAAAUCUCCAGAACGGAAUUUGCGAAACCAAUUUUGACACUAUCUUUCUUUUAAGGCUUUAUCACCAUACACAUCACGUAACUUUUUAGCAACUCUCUCUGCGCUUUUUCCUUUACGGAAAUAAUAAAGUAAAAUAUGACGAAAA